CCGCGGUAAUACGGAGGGAGCUAGCGUUGUUCGGAAUUACUGGGCGUAAAGCGAGCGUAGGCGGCUGUUUAAGUCAGAGGUGAAAGCCCGGGGCUCAACCCCGGAAUAGCCUUUGAGACUGGACGGCUUGAAUCCAGGAGAGGUGAGUGGAAUUCCGAGUGUAGAGGUGAAAUUCGUAGAUAUUCGGAAGAACACCAGUGGCGAAGGCGGCUCACUGGACUGGUAUUGACGCUGAGGUGCGAAAGCGUGGGGAGCAAACAGG
rnacentral:rRNA from 1 species